UAAAAAAAAAUAAAUAAAGAGACAGUGACAAGCAUGCUGUCCAGUGGAGUAAAGGGCGAGGCUGGAGCCCAUGCUAAGUGCGCAUGACCAUGCUUUGGUGGACCGUCGGUUUAAGGAGAAGGGGCACUGGGAGAACCUGUGCGCCUCUGACCUGGCCGGCCAGGCCCCUCUCUGCAGAGGAGCCAGGGAGAGGCGGGGCUUGGGCUUGGGCGGGCGGAGCCGUGGUAUUUGUGAGUGUGGGCCAGAGCUGAAGAGGACCCUCCUUGUUUGUGGAAUACUUCUGUCCCUGGCUCGCUGUGCUUGGGGUCACCAGGGAGGGGGAAGGAAACAAAAAGGCCCAUGGUUGUGGCCCGUGGAUUUGCUAUGGCAGAAAUUCUGCAUCUAUGAGAGGCAUGCAGCCGCCCUCCAGGCUACCCGCAAGAUUUCUUUAAAACUUUUCCACAAACGAAUCUUAUCAACCCACCCAUCUCAACACGAAUGCCUCCUUUGUGUACCCAGAACAUAUAGUUUUUAUUUGCUCUAAAUAGCUCAGCCCUCGAGCCCUCCCACAGCAGGAAUGGGGUCACAGGGGAGGCAGCCCGUGAGGGUCGGGCCGGGCUCCACUCCGAGUCCGUGCCUUGUAGGGCCCGAGUUUCUUCAUCUGACGAUGUGGGUGCUAGCUUCCCAAACACAGCUGGUGUCAAGAUGUGAGAUUAAGAAAAAAAGCCCAAUAUACACAUAGGUUCUGUGCCAUGAGCAGCCUCUGUUGGUUCUCACCAUAACUCUGCACCUGCCAUGAACAGGCUCAGAGGGGCUACGAGACAUCCCCCAAGGAAGUGGCAUCACAGGGACACUGCGUUGCUUUUCAGUGAGGAGUAAAUAACCUAAAACAAAAGUAUACCUGCCUCUACAUCCAUUUUAUCCAGUGGGGUUCAGUAAAUGCUGGUAGAAUUAAACUGAAUUUGGACUGUGAGACCAAAGGUCGGCUGAAGUCAAAUCCAGCUGACUUUGGUCCUUGGUCUUACCACCUACUCUGUGACCUUGAGCAUGUGAGUUCAUCUCUUCAAGUCCUGAGUGCCUCAGCUGCAGAAUGGGGUGAACUAUUGGAGCUCACUCACAGUAUUGCUCUGACAAGUCCUUGAGGUGCACGUAAUAAAGUGUCUUAGCACUGGUGCAUGGUGACCAGCCAUCAGUUAGGGCCUUUGUUACUCUAGCUUCUGGGUCUUCCAAAGGCAGGAGU